rnacentral:rRNA from 1 species
UCGCCGCGAUGCUCUAGAUUACGCGAAAACCCUUACCUAGGCUUGACAGUUGGGGAAAUCUGGCAGAGACCCUUUUUUUGUAAGGGCCCCAAAACAGGUGGUGCAUGGCUGUCGUCAUCUCGUGUCGUGAGAUGUUGGGUUAAGUCCCGCAACGAGCGCAACCCUCGUCGUAUGUUGCCAGCGGAUAAUGCCGGGGACUCAUACGAGACUGCCGGGGUCAACUCGGAGGAAGGUGGGGACGACGUCAAGUCAUCAUGCCCCUUAUGUCUAGGGCUGCACGCAUGCUACAAUGGCCGGUACAAAGGGCUGCGAUACCGCGAGGUGGAGCGAAUCCCAUAAAGCCGGUCUCAGUUCGGAUUGGGGUCUGCAACUCGACCCCAUGAAGUCGGAGUCGCUAGUAAUCGCAGAUCAGCAACGCUGCGGUGAAUACGUUCCCGGGUCUUGUA